CAGCAGCCGCGGUAAUGCGUAGGUGGCAAGCGUUGUCCGGAAUUAUUGGGCGUAAAGCGAGCGCAGGCGGUUAGAUAAGUCUGAAGUUAAAGGCUGUGGCUUAACCAUAGUACGCUUUGGAAACUGUUUAACUUGAGUGCAAGAGGGGAGAGUGGAAUUCCAUGUGUAGCGGUGAAAUGCGUAGAUAUAUGGAGGAACACCAGUGGCGAAGGCGGCUUUUUGGCCUGUAACUGACACUGAGGCGCGAAAGCGUGGGGAGCAAACAGGAUUAGAUACCCCUGUAGUCCCUGUCUCUUAUACA
rnacentral:rRNA from 1 species